GGUUCUGUGGUGUAAUGGUUAGCACUUUAGACCCUGAAUCCAAGAGCCCGAGUUCAAAUCCCGGCAGGACCU